AUUGAACGCUGGCGGCAGGCCUAACACAUGCAAGUCGAACGGUAACAGGAAGCAGCUUGCUGCUUCGCUGACGAGUGGCGGACGGGUGAGUAAUGUCUGGGAAACUGCCUGAUGGAGGGGGAUAACUACUGGAAACGGUAGCUAAUACCGCAUAACGUCGCAAGACCAAAGAGGGGGACCUUCGGGCCUCUUGCCAUCGGAUGUGCCCAGAUGGGAUUAGCUAGUAGGUGGGGUAACGGCUCACCUAGGCGACGAUCCCUAGCUGGUCUGAGAGGAUGACCAGCCACACUGGAACUGAGACACGGUCCAGACUCCUACGGGAGGCAGCAGUGGGGAAUAUUGCACAAUGGGCGCAAGCCUGAUGCAGCCAUGCCGCGUGUAUGAAGAAGGCCUUCGGGUCGUAAAGUACUUUCAGCGGGGAGGAAGGCGAUAAGGUUAAUAACCUUGUCGAUUGACGUUACCCGCAGAAGAAGCACCGGCUAACUCCGUGCCAGCAGCCGCAGUAA
rnacentral:rRNA from 1 species